rnacentral:lncRNA from 1 species
GCUUCGAGUUUCCCUCUUCAAUUCAAAUCAACCUGUCUCUAAUCCCUCUCUCGACAGCUUUUCUCAACUCUCUCCCAACCAACUGUUCUGCAAAUUUCUCAUUUCAAUCCUCGGCGAAUUCAACAUCUGACUAUAAAUAGUUGGGCUUCGAGUUCCUUUUCGACUUCAACCUUCAAUCGACGUGACAACCUUGCUCUCCGG